GGGGAAUAUUGCACAAUGGGGGAAACCCUGAUGCAGCGACGCCGCGUGAGCGAUGAAGGUUUUCGAAUCGUAAAGCUCUGUCCUUGGAGAAGAUAAUGACGGUAUCCAAGGAGGAAGCACCGGCUAAAUACGUGCCAGCAGCCGCGGUAAUACGUAUGGUGCGAGCGUUGUCCGGAAUUAUUGGGCGUAAAGGGUACGUAGGCGGUUUAUCAAGUCAGAUGUUAAAGCGUGGGGCUCAACCCCAUAAAGCAUUUGAAACUGAUAAACUUGAGUAGUGGAGAGGAAAGUGGAAUUCCUAGUGUAGCGGUGAAAUGCGUAGAUAUUAGGAGGAAUACCAGUUGCGAAGGCGACUUUCUGGACACAAACUGACGCUGAGGUACGAAAGCGUGGGGAGCAAAC
rnacentral:rRNA from 1 species